rnacentral:rRNA from 1 species
UACGUAGGGGGCAAGCGUUGUCCGGAAUUAUUGGGCGUAAAGAGCUCGUAGGCGGUUUGUCGCGUCUGCUGUGAAAACCUAAGGCUCAACCUUGGGCUUGCAGUGGGUACGGGCAGACUAGAGUGCGGUAGGGGUGACUGGAAUUCCUGGUGUAGCGGUGGAAUGCGCAGAUAUCAGGAGGAACACCGAUGGCGAAGGCAGGUCACUGGGCCGCAACUGACGCUGGAGGAGCGAAAGCAUGGGAGCGAACAGG